UUAACCUAGUAACUAUCGUUCAUUUCUGUUUAGAUGUUACCAGAGCAUGAUUAUUAUAUCCGUUAUAGUUGAAAUGCAAUAUCGAUGAUGUGAUUUGGACUCAUCAAAAAUGGAUUCCAAUUCUCUAAUAAGAAACUAAUUGCUAAUGUAUUUGUCAGAAGCGAUCAUUAACAUGAUUCAUCACGGACAUCAUCGCUGCCUGACAUCUUGCUUCCGGAAAGAGAUUAAUGGACUGCUGCCCAGCCAGAGCGAUUUGAUGAAUGGUGAACACGCUCGUAGAGAUUAGAUAGCGGACAGUGAGCUGCUACUUGCUUCGAGUCUUCUCAGAGGAUCACCGAACUUUCAUCUGAAAUAUUGUCUGGCCUGUACAUCCGGGUAUCCAAAGACCCCAUGUUUGAACAAGGAACAGAUACUAAGUGUCAGAAUAAAUAUUUUGAAUAAAUGUAUUCUUGAAAAUGUC